UACCAGCUCUUCGAGUGGUGUGGAUGUUUAUUGGGCCUAAAGCAUCCGUAGCUGGCUGGGCAAGUCCCCUGUUAAAUCCACCGAUUUAAUCGUUGGAGUGCGGGGGAUACUGUUCGGCUAGGGGACGGGAGAGGCAGACGGUAUUUUCGGGGUAGGGGUGAAAUCCUAUAAUCCCGGGAAGACCACCAGUGGCGAAGGCUGUCUGCUAGAACGCGCCCGACGGUGAGGGAUGAAAGCUGGGGGAGCGAACCGGAUUAGAUACCCGGGUAGUCCCAGCUGUAAACGAUGCAGGCUAGGUGUUUGGGCGGCCACGUGCCGCUCUAGUGUCGCAGGGAAGCCGUUAAGCCUGCCGCCUGGGGAGUACGGCCGCAAGGCUGAAACUUAAAGGAAUUGGCGGGGAGCACCACAAGGGGUGAAGCUUGCGGUUU
rnacentral:rRNA from 1 species